UCAUUUAAUUGGAACUGGCUUACAGUUCAGAGGUUUAGUCCAGUACAGUCACAAUGGGAAGCAUGGCAGAGUGUGGGCAGGCACGGUGUUAUCAAGACAGCUAAGAGUUCUACAUCUGGAUUCUCAAGCAGCAGAAAGAGAGAAUAAGCCACUGAACCUGGCUUGAGCCUUUGAAACCUCAAAGCCCACCUCAAUGACACACUUCCUCCAAGGCCACACCUCCUAAGAGUACCACACCCUGUGGGCCUAUGGGGGCCAUUUUUAUUCAGUCUUGUUUUGUAUAUUCCUGUGAGCUGGCCCCUCUGUGACAACUUCUGCAGAAUCAAGAGCCUGGAAGGUUCUAGCUCAUCCCUGCAAACUACACUGAGGCCUGCUAAGCUAGCCCAUCCUGACAAUCUUGGGUCAGCAAAUGUGGGCCCACAUCAACCUUUCUAACUUAUGCUGCCUGGAAACGACUCCUCUUACAGAGACUGAGCAUAUGGAUGCUGAAUGUGACAACACAGCUCAACAAAAUAGGGUGAAGAAAGGAGAUCCCGUCCAACUGGACGCCACUGGUUCAAGCAUUGUCUGUUAGCUUGGUCAGUUUUCCCAGAGUCCCCUAGAGGCAGGUUCUCCAGGGAAAGAACCAAUAGAUACCCUAUAGAUGCAUGAGAGGAUUUUUCAUGGAGGCUAAGACCCACUAUAUGCUGCCAGCAGACUAGCAACCAUGGAAAUCUGUGACAUAAGUCCAAAGACCUGAGAGCCAGAAUUACUAAGGAUAUAGCUCUCAGUUUUAGGCUGAAGGCCCAAGAAAAUGCAAGGGGUUGGGAGGGAAUUGGCCUAAGUCUCAGAGUCUGAAAAUCAGAAUGUUUGAAGUUCUCCUGGUAAAGACCAGAAGACUGGUGCCUCUGACUCUAGAGGACUAUACAAGUUUGUCUUCAGCUCUUGAGGCUUACUCAGCCCACUGACUCAAAUCCGUUCCCGGCUUGCCUCACAUUGUCACACACCUCAGUGGAAGUGGGUGUUGUUUCUUUUUCACAGAUGAAUACAGAAAGAGUCUAGAAGAUGAGUGGACUUGCCUAAGGACACACAAUUGUGCUAAGCUAGCUUGAGCUACACAGCCAGAUCAGACCCUACUUCAACCACAGAAAGAUCUGCACUUGCCAUGAGCAUGUAGAGACACCAGAAAGGAGGAGACUGGACUGAAUCAGGAACGUCCUCAGAGGUAGGUCGGGUCAGCCCAAUCUUAUUGUUGUGGAGCCCUAGAUCUCUGCCUAAGGGUUUGAUCAAAGGUGGUUUGAUUAUUUCUGUGCUCUGAUAAAAAUACUCUGACAAAAUGCAUCACAGAGAGGAAUGUUUAUUUGGUUUAGAGUCCAUUGUUGUGGAGGAAGUUAGGGACAGGCAUCUUAACAUCACACCGUCUCCACAGUCAGUACCAGAGAGAAGCAAGCACACCCAUGCUGCCUCCCUGCUCACUGUCAGCUAGAUUUCUCCACUCCAUCUCUCAGGGUCUGUCCCAGGAAAUGGUACUUACUGCCUUCCUUCAGGGUGGGUCUUCCCACCUCAAUUUACAGACAAGACACCCACAACACACCAGACCAACCCACAGGCCAUCCCUCAGUAAGACUUUUCUUAGAUGAUUUUAGGCUGACAGUUAAAAAGCAAUUGGCAAAGACAGGUCACCUGUAAUAGACAGACAUUGCAUCUGUGGGCAAGGAAAUGUCCCAGGACCAAUUCUGGCAUCUCAUAGUCAACCUUUAGAUGCAAAGUGUCCACCUCCUUGCUACCAGGACAAAGGACAUGAUGUCUCCUGUCAGCUACUAGUCCCACAAAGGCUGUACCCCUAUAUGAAACUCAUCUGUUGACGUUGGUGCCAGCAGAGCAGCAGCCCUGAUUGGAUGCUGACGACAGCAGUGGUAGCAGCCACGGUGAGCCCCUGACACCCAGGACUUGGACAUGGUAGAGGGCUGCUAGCCCAUCUUUCAGUGGUGGUUGCUUAAAGCAGCUAGGAUUUCUACUCAAGAACUCUGACAGAGACCAAAGCAAGCUGGAGCCUGGAAGACUUGGAGGACUGGCUUGUUGACUGCAGGGCAAAGGCAACUUUCUCCACUGUACUGAGCCUCUCUUAGAAGUCAGCAGCCUCUGUGCUCACUAGUGCUUUGCCUAUGUGGGAUGGGAGGCAUCAAGGCAGAGAACAGAAAAGCCACAAUACCUUGGCUUCUUGGUGACAUCAGCACACUGCUGGGAGGGCUCUAGCCCCACAGAGCCCUGGACAGUCCCAUCACUGAACUAAUAACCAACUCAUGUGGUUUCUAUCCCCAGCAACCCAAGCAUUCACACUGUACGAGACAAAGGCAAUGAUUUCUGGGGUGUAGACACACACAUACCCAGCCAUGCCUAAGCUGCUCUGACUGCCGUGCAUGCUCUGUAUGCAUCUGUUCUCUCCAUCAGCCUUAUCCACAUCAACCCUGUUGGGAUACACACAUUUCAUUCUGUAAAGUAUACCCUCUCCCUGUUCCUCCCUGCCCUUUGAUGGGCAAAGUGAUCUCCUGCCUCAAUUCACACAACUACUAAGUUGGGAAGCUGAAGGAUGCCCAGAUUCCAGGCUUUUAUCCACUGUGUUUAAUGGCAUUGCUACCCAACCUCAUUACAUUGCAAAGUAGAAUCUGUAGCUUUGAACCAGCUCCCUCGCUUUGCUGCAGAGGACAAAUCCAGCUUGGUCUCUUACUCUCUGUUCAUGAUCAUACUUUCUGUUGUGUUUUGUUUAUUUGAAACAGGGUCUCAUGUAGCCAAGGCCAACCUCAGAGAGCUCCUGAUCUUUUUGCCUCUACCUCCCAAGUACUAAGAUUGUAGGUAUAUUACAGGUGCUCACCACACCAGUCUUCAGGCCCACUCUGAAAUGAAGUUGACAGGACCACCUUCUUGGAAGCUGACUAUCGUCGGUGCUGCUUAACAAAGGUGUUUGGCUCCCCACUAUGUCAGUGCACACAUGAUGGAACUUCUGGUUCUCUCGGUCAGGUCACGGUCUGCUCAAAGAUUGUGAAUAGAGGGAGAACGCAACAGUUUCUGGUACAAAAUAUUAAAAGCUAGAAUGAGACAGGGUUCUAUCUGUCCAGCAGAGCAGUGCUCUGGACAGCGGUGGCUCUGCCAAGCAGAGUCCCUAGCCCACACAAUAUGAGUUAAGCAUGAGCGCUCUGGUUCUAAGCCAUCUAGAACUGGGCCUUGAUGGAUAUCCUAGUGUGCAUUGGUCUGUCUCACUGACUGUUUUCUCCUCCACAGGUAUUAGUCUUGUAUUUAUGAAUUCAUUUCAACUGAGGAAAUGAUGUUUUAAAUGGCAUCUCUACUGAGGGGAGAACCUAAGUGAGCAGCAUGGCAACUCUUUAUAUCACGUUUACUCUGUAGUGUAUUAAAGCAAUCCAAAAAUG
rnacentral:sRNA from 1 species